rnacentral:lncRNA from 1 species
CCAUUUCUACAGUGAAUGAUUUUUCUAACAUGCUAGGUUUAUGUCUAAGUAAGUGAAUAAAGUUUUGGCUCACGAAGCUUCUCUCUGCUCCACUAUCGAAUAGUAUGCAUGCAUAAGAAUUAUCGAGAAGAAACGUACCAGUAACUACUGUAGGAUCAGCUACGGCUUCUUCGUGGCCUAUAGCCAAAACUCGUCCCACUCCGCUGGUAUUCGCUGCAUUCGGGCAGUUUCUUUUGUAGUGGCCCACCUCGCCACAACCGUAGCAAGCUUGGCCUACACCAGCAUUGGGAACUUGAGUGAUCGGUUUUACGGGGGCUCUGCAGAAGCGGACAGUGUGUCCCUUUCUGUUGCAGUUGGAGCACUGCAUUUCCCGACAAGCCCAUGGUGGUGGUAAGUGCAUUUGGUGCACUUUGGAAGGUUACCCACAUAAGGCUUUAUUGGGUAGAGAUUUGUAGGAACAGUAGUAGGUACAGUAGCAGCAUUCACUGUAACUAGUUGUUGUUUCUUCGAGGAUUCAUGGGAAGACCCACCCUUCCCCUUAUUUCAUCCUCUCUUCUUGUUAUUGUUGUUGUUGUUUCCCUUUUGUGGUUCUGGUGCAGAAAUUGUUGAGUUCUGAUGACUUACGUGAUCAAUAAGAGAUUAUGCCAGUUCUUUGGCACUUUAAAAAGUGUCAGGUUUUGAAGCUAACACGCUUGACUGAAUUUGGGGCGACAGUCCCCAAAUGUAUCUCUCUAUUUUCUUGUUCUUAGGAGCAAUCAUAUCUGGGCAAAGGAUUGCCAGAUCGCAGAAUUUUUUGGUAUAAGUUGCUAUGUCGGUACCAAUACGUGAUCAAUAAGAGAUUAUGCCAGUUCUUUGGCACUUUAAAAAGUGUCAGGUUUUGAAGCUAACACGCUUGACUGAAUUUGGGGCGACAGUCCCCAAAUGUAUCUCUCUAUUUUCUUGUUCUUAGGAGC